rnacentral:misc_RNA from 1 species
GUUUUGAUGAAUACUGAUGUUUUGGAAGCUUGGUUGAGGGAGAAUGAGGGGAAGAUUAGCAGUGAUUUCGAAGCUGAUGACGCGUUUGAUUGUGUUGAUGUGCUUUCAAAGCAAGUGCUUGAGUGUACUGCUUCAGAUUUAGCAAUAGAAGAUGCUAUAUAUUCAUUGGAUAAGGCUGUGCAGGAUGGGGCAAUACAAUUCGAUCAGUACUUGAGGAAUGUGAGAUUGUUGUCACGGGAGCAGUUUUUUCACCGGGCUACAGCUGCCAAAGUCAGGGCAUCUCAGUUGCAAGCUCAAGUUGCUAACAUGGCUUCCCGGAUUUCUCAAUAUUCUAAUGGCUGAAAUAUUGUGGCAAAUUUUCCCUUUAGAGCAGCAAUGCACUGCUUGAUUUCUGCUAUUUGGAUGGCCUUCAGGGGUAUUGCUGGAAGGUUAGAAUUUUGUGAAUUU